rnacentral:lncRNA from 1 species
UUGCGCGAGAUUCGUUUGCAGAUGACGAGCGCGAGCUACCGGUCGAAUUAUAAAUUUUUGAUUCUUGUCCGGAGUUGCUACUAUUUCUCGGGUAGAUUUUGCAGAUUGUAAAUUAUACAGUCGGACAUCUCGCCACUAAUUGUAGAGCGGUUGAUGAGCUAAAUUCUGUUGCAAUGCAUUCAGCAACGAAGCUGUUGCUACUUACGUUGGAAUCCAUAGGGAACCUUUGAAGGAAUUGUUCUUCAAUCUUGCCAAUGAGAUUAGGUAGAGCAUCCGCUUGUUUUGUCAAACUUUUGGAUCACUCCUUCAGCAACGUUUGUGAACAGGGUUUGGUUUUUGGCUUCCACAAGAUUCGAGGUCGCCGGAGGCGCCGAGUCGCCACUUUAUUUCAAUCCGUGUAACUGCUGCAUUUCAAUUAAUCGGAAAGCUAAUUUCAGGUUACUUUUAAUCUCCUAUAUUUCAUUUUGGAUCCGAUUUUUGUGGUUGUAAUUGUUACGG